rnacentral:ncRNA from 1 species
UACCUGGUUGAUCCUGCCAGUAGUCAUAUGCUUGUCUCAAAGAUUAAGCCAUGCAAGUCUAAGUACGAGCUCUCGUACAGUGAAACUGCGAAUGGCUCAUUAAAUCAGUUAUGGUUCAUUUGAUCGUACAGUUUACUUGGAUAACUGUGGUAAUUCUAGAGCUAAUACAUGCGAGAAGCGCCGACCUCGCGGGAGGCGUGCAUUUAUCAGACCAAAAACCGGCCGCGUCUUCGGGCGCGUUCGCCUUGGUGACUCUGGAUAACUUUGCGGAUCGCACGGUCUAGCACCGGCGACGGAUCAUUCAAGUGUCUGCCCUAUCAACUUUCGUCGGUACGGUAUUUGCCUACCGAGGUUCUUACGGGUGACGGGGAAUCAGGGUUCGAUUCCGGAGAGGGAGCCUGAGAAACGGCUACCACAUCCAAGGAAGGCAGCAGGCGCGCAAAUUACCCAUUCCCGACGCGGGGAGGUAGUGGCGAAAAAUAACAAUGCAGGACUCGUUCGAGGCCCUGUAAUUGGAAUGAGUACACUUUAAAAGCUUUAACGAGUAUCCAUUGGAGGGCAAGUCUGGUGCCAGCAGCCGCGGUAAUUCCAGCUCCAAAAGUAUAUAUUUAAGUUGUUGCGG